rnacentral:rRNA from 1 species
GACGAACGCUGGCGGCGUGCGUAACACAUGCAAGUCGAACGAGAGAGUGAGAGAAGCUUGCUUUUCUUACGAUCGAGUGGCAAACGGGUGAGUAACGCGUAAACAACCUGCCCCGCAGAUGGGGACAACAGCUGGAAACGGCUGCUAAUACCGAAUACGGUCCUCUUAGCGCAUGGUAAGAGGAAGAAAGGGUGGCCUCUGGAACAAGCUACCGCUGCGGGAGGGGUUUGCGUCUGAUUAGCUGGUUGGAGGGGUAACGGCCCACCAAGGCGACGAUCAGUAGCCGGUCUGAGAGGAUGAACGGCCAC